GAUGAACGCUGGCGGCGUGCCUAACACAUGCAAGUCGAGCGAGAAGUAAAGAAAUGAAGCUUCGGUAGAUUUUCAUUAUGGAAAGCGGCGGACGGGUGAGUAACGCGUAGGCAACCUGCCCUGUACAGGGGGAUAGCCACCCGAAAAGGUGAUUAAUACCCCAUGAUGCAAGAGAUACACAUGUAUCACUUGUCAAAGAUUUAUCGGUAUGGGAUGGGCCUGCGUCUGAUUAGCUAGUUGGUAGGGUAACGGCUUACCAAGGCAACGAUCAGUAGCCGACCUGAGAGGGUGAUCGGCCACAUUGGAACUGAGACACGGUCCAAACUCCUACGGGAGGCAGCAGUGGGGAAUAUUGCACAAUGGGGGAAACCCUGAUGCAGCAACGCCGCGUGAAGGAAGAAGGCCUUCGGGUUGUAAACUUCUGUCCUAGGGGAAGAAACAAAUGACAUUACCCUUGGAG
rnacentral:rRNA from 1 species